CUGCAUUUAAAUGUGUUUGGCUAAGGUGUGUGUAAACUUCCGACUUCAACUGUAUAUCUGUUUUGUUUUGCUCUCUACCAGGAGUGGAACAUGACGUAUUAUGAUUCCAAGGCAGAGCUAGACUCAGUACUCCCUGCAAGAUGGUGAUGGGGAAACAGUGAACCCUCCACUACAGGUGGAGUUUGUGUAUGACCCUAACUUCAAAAUAAGGUCAACUACUCCUUCACAGCCGUUCAGAUCCCCACAGACAUCUACAAAGGAGGGAGCUCCUGCCCAUGUCAAGCAAUGGAUAACAGAAAUGUUGUAGAGGUGGGAUUAUGCGCUUAGGAGACUGCAACACUACCGCCACACCAUGACAGGAGUGGCAGUGUGAGCGGCCUCACUUUGAAGCUGAUCAAGUCAUCAGUGAUGGAGAUGCUGGACACUCUGUCUGAUGACGACUAUGUCAACGUGGCCAGGUUUAAUGAAAAGGCAGAGGCAGUGGUCCCUUGCUUCAAACACCUGGUCCAGGCCAACGUUCGCAACAAGAAGAUCUUCAAAGAGGCUGUAAAGCUCAUGCAAGCUAAAGGCACCACAGACUACAAGUCUGGUUUCCACUUUGCCUUCAAUCAGCUACUAAACGUGAAUGACUUAAAGCUCAACACUCUGAACGACCGCAUUCUGUACGAGUGAUGCCCAAUUCUUUAGGGCUUCUACUAUUAAAUAGACAAGGACAUUUUCCAAAGAAACUGUGUGUGCUUGCUAUUUUGUUCUUUGAGCAAACACAUGAAGGACAGUUCAUUACAGAUAACAGGACAACCAGCAGAACAUUUAAGAGUGGCUCUCAAUGACUCCGCGAUGCAUCGUGCCUAAGAACAGCCCUUAGCCGUGGUAUAUUGGCCAUAUACCACACGCCCUCUUGCCUUAUUGCUUAAAUAUACUUUACAGUUACAGUAUCAACCUUGCCUUCCUCUAAAUCACCCUGUGCGUUAGUUAACAUAUGUGCACCUGGGGAUAAGAAAAGGCUGAGCAUAUAAUGCCGUUCGAUUGCAAACAGCAGUAACUACACAUUUGGUCAAAAUUUAGACCGAAAUCAGACUCUCUUUUUAUCCCCCUCCAACUCUCUCUGCUCUCCCUCUAGGUUUCUAUUUUGAGAUCAGCGCCAUCUGUGCCAUAAGGAUUAACACUAGUGCCUCUUACACAGCUGAUCCUGGGUCAGCCAGUUCUCCUGGCACUGCUUCCUGGAAUUGUUGUUUACCGGACACUGACUAAUCCAUAUCCUGGCCAUCUGCCCAAGAUUGUUGAACAACUUUCUGGAAGCCCAUUUUCUCUAGAGUAGCUACUAACCACACGUCUUGUCUGGGGAAGAGGUUCCAGUGGGCAAGUUCGUUUUGCGCAGUGGUUGAAAAAUUAGGCUACUCAAUUUUUAUACAUGAGUAAAAGUAAAGAUCCCUUGAUAAAAAAUGACUAAAG